UUAAAUUGUUAAAUCAUGUUUUGAUGAUAUUGUAAAUCAAUAUGUUUAAAUUUGAUUUUUCUGAUUUUGUGGUACUUUCUAAAAAUUGGAAUGUUUUCUUGCUGCACAUACUUUUAAAUUGGGUUGCUUUUCCUAAUCUUAGGAAAUAGCAUCCAGUUUCAUACCAUUAAGAAAGAAAGCUACAAAGUUUUAUGUAGAUGCCUUUUACCAAACUGAGCAACUUUUUCAAGUGCUAGUUUACUGAUACAUUUUAUAGUACAGAUAAAUGUAUUGGAUGCUUUUUAUACAUUUGCUGAUAAUAAUCCUGUUUUCCCCUUUAUUCCAUUGUUGUGGGAAACCAUUGAUCAGGCUUUGAGUGUUAACCCAACACUGCAUUUCUAAUAUAAGCCACUUGGGUAUUAUUACUCUUUUGUAUAUAUAUAUUUCUGUAUUCAAUUUCCUACCUUAUAUUUAAGGAUGUUGUAACUAUGUCCAUGAUGGUCAUUAGCCUGUAGUUUUCUUUUCUUUAUUAUUUGUUAGAUUUUAUUAAUCUUCAUUCAAUGUAUUGAUUAUUGUCCUCUCCUUCUAUUUUGCUAGUAUUUCUUCCUAGGAGGUUUAAUAGAUUUCAUUAGUGGAAUCAUUUGGGCUUGAGUUUCCUUCAUGAUAUUUUUAUUAACAAUUUCAAUUCUUUAGUAAUAGGUAAUUAUUCUGAGUUUGUUUCAUCUAAUGUCAGCUUUACUAAGUCCUGUUUUUCAAGGAAGUACUCUAUUUUAUCAGUUUUCUCAAAUUCAGUGGUAUAAAGUUGUUUAUAAUAUUUCCAUAUUACUCUUGUAAUACCUGUAAGAUAUGUAAAGAUCUCAUUUUCUCAGAUCCUGAUGUAGGUUAUAUCAUUUUCCUUUAGAUCACUCUUUCCAAGGUCCCCCUUUUUAUUUAUCAUUUAGAAGAUCCAAUCUUUGACUUUUUAUUAUCUUUUCACUCCAUUACUGAUUUUUGAUCUUGCGUUUCUUUCCUACUGCUUGUGUUGGUUUUAAUAUGCUUUUCUGUUGGCUGUUUAGGGUAGAAACUUAGGUCAUGAUUUUAGACCUUUCUUUGUUUCUAAUAUAAAAAUUAGAGAUAAUAGACAUUGUAUUAAUGGCCUCAAAAUUUUUUGAUAGUUGUAAAUAUCAUUCAGUUCAAAUAUUUUCUUAUUUCUUUGUGAGUUUCUUUUCAGGGGAGUGUAUUAGUCAACUUCAAUUACUGAGGCAAAAUACCUAACACACAUAAUUUAGAGGAGGAAAGGUUUAUUUUGCCUUGGGGUUUCAGGGUUGUCAGUCCACCUGUGGUUGGCUGACUCGUAGACAGAAACAGUGAGACAGAGAAAGGCUGUUUACCUCAUGGCAGUUAGAAAGCAGAGUAAGAAGGAACAGCCAGAGUGGAAGAGGAAGCCAGAGAGCAGAUAAUAAUUCCCAAGGUUGUGUGCCCCUGAGCCACCCAAACAUACCCAGAAGUGUGUGUUCCUAAUCUCCUAGGUAUAUCUCAAGCCAGUCAAGUUGAUGAUCAAAAUUAACCAUCUCAAGUUUACCCCUUGUCUACUCAACACCCAAAUACAUCUCCUUAAAUAAUACUUAAUCUCCAGAGACAAUGUAAGGUCAGAAUUGCACCUAACAUGAUCUAACUAUUCUGUAUACAACCAAAAAUAUACUAAUUCUUUUUCCAAAGUCUUAACUGUCCCAACAUUGCUCUAGGACCUAAGGCAAACUGUUUACCUAUGAGCCCCAGUAAAAUUUAAAAAGCAAGCUUCAUGCUCCCAAGAUAAAAUGACACAGGGUAAAAAUUCCCAUUCCAAAUGGGAGGAGUAUGGGAAUAGAAAAGAAUAGGACAAACGCAACACUGAAACUCAGGAUAGCAAACAUUAAAUCUUACACCUCCAUGUCUGGCAUCCAGGGCACAGUGAGCUCCAGAGGGCUUGGGCUACCCCACCUGAUGGUCUUGCUGGUUGUAGCCCAUUUGGCCUCUUUCCUAGGCUGGCUCUGCUCAGUGCCUGCAACUUUCCUUGGUAGACAUUCCACAUUCCUGAUAUUUCUAGCCUCUGAGAGUCUCCACUGAGGCUUCUGCCUCACUCUCACAGCUUCACGUAUCACUCGGGCUUCUCGCAGGGACUCUGAACAUGUCACAUACCUGGAAGUUUGAGUGAAAGUCUCCAUGACCCUGUAACUCUUGAAUUCUGCAUGCCUACAAAAUCAUAUGUCUGACACCAAGGUCUGCCACCAGCUUGAGCAGUAGCUGGGCCCCCUUGGAGCACUAGCACUUCUGAGCACCAGUAUAGCUAUACAUAGUAAAAUGAAUACCAUGGAAUCAAUUUGCUAGGUGGGCUUCUUGAGCUGGGGCCCGGAGGGGACACUUUUCUCAAAUAAAAUUUUAUGCUUUUGGACCCUUGAGCCUGUGAUGGGUGGACUCUUGCUAAUUUCUGAGAUGACCUCAAGACAUCUUUCUUAUGGCUCCAGUUCAAAGUAUUUUCUUCUCUUUACUGGUGUAAAUCUCUUCAGUAACCACACCUUCUUUGGCCCCAGUUUUAUAUUUGCUUUUCUGGCUAAACCGAAAGUUUUAAAAAUCUUUCUGCUCUGUUUUUUGCUCCCAAUUCUUAUGGUAAAUUUGAGUAAAAGUGGCCAGAAAUAACCAUGCGACCACCUAAAUGUUGUGCAGCCUUGAAAUUUCCUCCACCAGGUCAAUUAAUUAGUCUGUGGCUUUCAACUGAAUCUCACACAAGGUUUUGAAGCAUGGGAAAAAUGUAAACAAACUCUUUGCCAAAAUGUGACAUGAGUCAUCUCUAGUCCAGUGCCCACUAGCGUCCUUAUUUCCAGCUGAAACCUCAGGAGCUCAGUCUUUACUGACCACAUUCCUAUCAGUAUUCUGGUCUUCUGAGCUCUCAUCAGAGUCACCCAUCGAGGUCUACUUAACAACAUUCUGGGGCUUCCCUAGCCUGCAUCUCUGAACCUUUCCAAACUCUUCCUGCACAGCAUUUAUAAAGGCUUCUGAACCCCAUGGUCAGGUACAGUCAUAGAAAUGACCCCAUUUCUCUGGUACCAGUUUUCUGUAUUUAAUUAAUUUGACCAUCAAUGGUUACAUCAAAUGGAAUAUUUAAUUUCCAAAUAUUUAGUGAUUUUUUUUCUGGGUAAAUAAUUACUACCUCUAUGUUAAGCCUCUUACUGUACAGUAAAAAAUAAAAGUGCUCUGCAGUAUUUCAGUUUUUCCACAUUUAUUGAGACAUAGUUUAGCACAUGGCCUAUUUUGAUAAAAGUUUCACAUGCACAUGAAUGUAUAUUUAGUUCUCACUGAAUAUAAUGGUCUGAAAAUGUCAAUAAUUUAAGAUUUUUUUUCACAUAGUAAUUAGAUUUCCUACGUACUAGUGACCUUUAUUGUUAUGUAAGUUACUAAGAAAGUAGUGUUAAAUUUUCUGCCUAUAAUUAUGAACUUAUUUCUCAAUUCUGUCAACUGCUCUUUAUGUAUUUGAAGAUCUCACUUUUUUAUAGUUUUAUGGCUAUUAGGUCUUUUUAAUGGAUUUUUCUAUUUUCCUAAUUUGGUAUGUCUCCCUUAUCUUGGAUAACAUUUGUUGUUUACAAGUCUACUUUGUUAUUUCCAGAUUAUAUUAGAAUUCACUGUAUUCUUUUAUUCUCUUACUUUCUUUCUUUUUUUUUUUGGUACCAGGGAUCGAACUUGGAACCUUGUGCUUGCAAGGCAGGUGACAACACCGCUGAGCUAAAUCCCCAACUCUCUCUUUAUGUCUAUAUUUUGUUUAAGUGUUUCUAUCAUAGAUAGCAUACAAGUGGGUAUUUUUUAUCCAUUUGACCGUUAAUGCCUUUUAAGCCUUUGAUCAAUCCAUUUACAUUAGAUAGACUUGUUAACAUGAUUUGAUUUAUGCCUACCAUUUAGCCAUUUACUUUUUGUCUGUCCCAUCUAGUUUGUUCCUUGCUUUCACUGCUUUGCUUCAUUUUUUUGGGUGAAUUGAUUAUUUUUUAGUAUUAUGUGCUAAAUUCUUUAUUGACAUUUUAGCUCUAGUAUGUAUCUUUGUUUAGAGGUUCAUGUGGGCGUUGCACCAUGCAUCUUUAAUCUAUGACCAACUAUUUAGAGUUACUGUCAUACGCUUCAUGGAAAGUAUAAAAAAUUUCAAUACUUAUUACUCUUUUGUCCUUUAUUCUCAUUUCAUACUUUAUAACCUAGAUAUUAUAAUUUUCUUUCUACAAUCAAUCUUUUAAGUAAGUUAAAAGGAUAUACUAUGGUCUUUUGUGUUUAUGUCUUACUUACUUUUCUUGUUUCUGAGACAAAAUAUCUGACACUCAGAGUUAAAGCAGGAAAGGGUUUUUUUAGCUCAGUUUGUAGAGGUUUCAGUCCAUAGUCAGCUGGCUCCAAGUCAGGGUGGCAUGGCAGAGGGGCAUUGCAGAGGAGAAACAGUCCAUGGCAGGGCAGGGUAAGCAGAAGACAGCAAAGCAGCAAGGAAGCAAUGAGGUCACACUAGCCCUCUUUCUGUCCCUUAUGUUUUAUCCACCCAGGAUGAGGCAUCCUUAAUCCUAUCCAGAACUAUACCAGUGGACUGAUUUAGUAAUCACACACCCUUAAUCCCAGCAUCGCAUACUAUAUAUCCAGCCAGCUCUGUAAGAGCCCUCACUUAAGACUGCUACAUGAGACUUUGGGGGGGACAUCUACACACAAACCAUAAUACCGUAUAUUUACCAUGUCUACUUUGUUCCUUCCUGUUUCCAUCCUCACUCUUUCCCUUUAGCCUAAAGAAGUUCCUUUAGCAUUCUUACAGUGGAGGUGUGAUUACAGAGAAUUCUGUUACUCUUUGGAAGGAUUAAAUAAUCUUUGAACACAGUGCACUAAAGAAAAGUGAGAGCUUUCUCUCUCUCUCUCUCUCUCAUCCUCUUAAGUUGUACAACUUUCAUUUGGUUCAUUAUUAAAAUUUCCAUCUCUUUGCUUGUAUUUGUUAUCUUUUCACUCAUGAUCAUGUUUGCCUUAAAAUUUUGAACACCUUUUUAGGGAGUUUUUUCGAGUUUUUAUCUGUUACUUACAUAUUUGGGCUAUCUUAUAUGUUUCUAUUCAUAUAUAUGCAAUAAUCUUAGAAGAAAAGAGCUAGAGAAAAAAAUAAUUUAAGAGAUAUAUUAAUAUAAUAUAUUAAUAAAAUAUAUUUUAUCUUUUCUUUUGAUAUUUGAAGGCACAAUUUUGAAAGCUAAAAUAAUGCUGUGUUGGAAGUGUUCUAACAUACAUAAAUUAAUCUAUAUUUAGAACAGUACUCAGAAUGGGGCAAGGCUACCUAUAACUGUAGUGGGAUGGGACUCUUACAUUUUACAAAAGGCAGUACUAUAUUAACUCUAAGUGGAAUGUGAUUGUUAUUUAGUUUUUCCAGUGCUAGGGAUCCAAACCAUAGCCUCAUCCAUGCUAAGCCAGUGCUUUGCCACUGAGCUACACCUCCAGUCCAAGGAAUGUGAUUAACUUAUAAAUACUCAUUGCAAUCACAGAACAAUCACUGAAAAUGAGAGAAAUAUGGUGAAAAUAUUCAUAACAAACUUAAAAUUUGAUAAUAAAAAGUAUUAAUCCAAAGGACUGCAGGAAAGAAUGAAGAAAGGAACAAAGAGAUACAUAGAGAACAAAUGGCAAAGUGGUAAGCCUAAAUCCAGUCGUACUAGUUUUUUGGUUGUUUUUUUUUGUUUUUGUUGUUGUUUUAGCCAGGGAUUGAACUCAGGACCUUUCAGUUGCAAGGCAGGUGGGGCACCACUGAGUUAAAUCCCUGACCCCUACUAGUUAUUUUAUAUGCUUGUUUUUCAUUGCCUUGAUUGGAUGAACACUAGGUAAGGUUUGUUUUUUAUUUAAGUUUCUUUGUAAUUGUCUUUAAAUCUCAUUGAUUUUAUACUACUUUUGUAGAUUCAAGUAGAUUUUCUCAUCCUGUGCAUUAUGCCUUUCACCUGUUGAAAGCUGUUUUUUUUUUUUUUUGUCUCAGACAUGUCUGUCUUUUAAGGAAAUAUUUAGUCAUGUUAUCUUUCUUAUUUUAAUGGCUUUGUAACUUGGUAAUAUCUUCUAUUUUUAAAAUUAAUUAAUUAAUUAAUUACUUUAUUUAUUUUGCGGUGCUAGGGAUUGAACCCAGGGCCUUUUACAUGCCAGGUAAGGCCUAUACCACUGAGCUGCAUCCCCAACCCUGUCUUAUUAUUAUUAUUAUUAUUAUUAUUAUUAUUAUUAUUAUUGGUAAUCUUGGUUUGCCUGUGUAAUUUUGUUAUUUUACAUUUCUUGUUUCUUCUUAAAUGACUUGUAUUUUUUUUUAGUUUGAUCUUUUAAAAUACAACUUUUGUUUUAUUCCUCCAUUGAAGUUGUUUAAAAGAUAUUUUGUAUGGUGUUUUGUUAAAUUUAGGUUACUUACAUAUCGUAUAUGGUGAAAUCAACAUUUUUAUUUGAUAUACUUAGUAGAGGCUUUCUUAUUUAAAAGAAGAAAAUAACAUUGCUACCAAUUCUUUAUUCAUGUAGUAAGAUAAUUUGAUAGGUUACACACAAAUCUUGCAUAGUGAAAUCACUAUUUUUAUCUGAUAAACUUAAAGGUUUCCUUAAUAAAGGCUGUGAAAGAAUAAUCUAGAAAUUCCUAUUCAUGUAACAAAAUAAUCAUUAUUAUAAUAAAUGCUUUCAUGUAUUGAGUGCAUACUUAAUAGUAGUAGAUUCUGUGCUGAAAUGAUUAUAAACUUUGUCUUUUACAAAAUAUUUGUGCGGGGGGCCAGGAUUUAGCUCAGUGGCACCACGCCUGCCUUGCAAGUGCAAGGUCCUGAGUUCAAUCCCUGAGGGGGAGGGAGAUUGUUUUAGCUCGGCAUGGUAGCAUUUGCCUGUAAUUCUGGUGCUUGGCACGCUAAGGCAGGAGGAUCACCACGAGUUCAAGGCUAGCCUGAACUAUAUAGUGAGACCUUGUCUCAAAAAUAUUCUUUCAAUUAUGCCAUGUCACACAUAAUAUUAAUUUGACAUGUAUAUAAUAUAAUACAGUUGACAUAUGGAUUUAUAUAAUGAGGAUACACAUCUGCCUUCCUCAAAUUGCUCUUUUGAGUAUUAAAGACAUUAUGUAGAUACAGCACCUUGGAAAAGUCUGGAAUAAGGUUACACAGUGAUCAAAUACUUGGAACAGCAAGAAUAAUGAUAGUCACUAUAAUGAGCUAUUAUGCAUUGUUGUUAUCCACAAACCAGCUUCAUUCUGUAGGCAUAAUACGCAGCUUUAGUCUCAUAGGCACUUAGUACAUUUUUGCAGUUAUAUUAAAUUACAUAAUCUGAACAAAUACAUUGAAGUACCGAAGUCAAAUUAUCAUGCUUGCUCUACACAUUCUGAUAUGCAGCAGUAGAUACCGUGUGGUCAACAGUUACCUACAGGAGAAACUUGGUUGUCGCCUGCCACUUGCUCCAUGGUGCCCAUUCACAUAUGCUGCUAGUCCCCUUUUCCAUUGUAUUUUGUUCCCAAGAAGAAUUGUCCAAGAAAGUCUCCUGAAAUACUUCCUUAAUCUUAGUAUUAUUGACCCUUCUUUCCUUUUAUGAUAAUUUAUUUAAAAACUGAUGAAAUAGGUGAGGGAUUUAGCUCAGUGGUUCCGCCGCCGGCCUUGCAAGUGCAAGGACCUGAGUUCUAUCCUUGGUACAAAAAAAAAGAGUUAAGAAUUGAUGAAAUAGUAAAAUUUCUUAAUAAUACAACUAAUAAAUUCACAAAAAAGAAACUAUUAAUAUUCCUACCUAUGUUAAGGACAUUGAAUCCAUCAUCAUAAUACUUGCAGACAAAAAUGUACCACACUUAAAAAUCCCACUGAUAAAUUUUUGCAAAUAUUUAAGGAAAAUAUAUAAUUAAUUUUGAAGAUAUCUAAAUUCUUCUAACUGGAUGGUGAAAUGUAAAAUUCACUUGCAGAAAAUAAGGGUGGAAUAAUUAUUCAAAUUAUGUGACAUAUUAAAGGUACUGCAUCACAACUAUUGGGGUUUAAGACAUGAAAGGCGUUUCUGAUUUUCCUUUAACAUAAAAAGUAUUCAAAUUUUCUGCUUUCAACUCAUGCGUAAAGAGCUUACAAGCUACUGUUUCUGUCCUUAUAACAAGAUAAAGCAGAAAAAGUUGAGAAAAAAAUCACAUCAGUUAUUCAGUUAUUCAGACCCAUCUGAGAACUGAGGUUUCAGGGAAACUUCCACUCCAAAAUCUGGAGACACAGACUGAGAUACAACUGAGAUUUGAUAAUUGGAGCAGAAGCCACUAGAGUAGCCAUUUAGAAGAAUUCCUGGGCUGGUUGUAGAGUAGGCUGAAAGGGAGAGAGCCUCAAAGACCUCACCUUUGGGGCGUUACCUCCUUGGAACCUGAAUAGGUUCUCACAGUGACAAGCUUAAAUAGGAUCCGCUUGUGGUUCGGGAAGGUAACGAGUGUAGUCAUCACUGUGAAAUAUAGUUAGAGUGUUUUCCACAACCAAAGCCCAGUCUCCAGGAGAAAUGCUUUACCCACAGCCUUAUCCCACUUGGGUGAGGGGCAUUCUUCUCAUGCCUGCUUCUAACUUUUAAUGGUUUUACCAAUCAAAAAAUUUAAAGACUCACAAGUGUUGACAGAGGUCAGUGCUUCAAGGAAAUAGGUACACUACAGCCAAGGGAAGAGGGUAGAGAAAAAGAAGCAUUUGAGAAGAUUACAAACCCAAGACAGGUACACUAAACAGAUUAAUUCAAAAGACUAGAACUCUCAGUGUUCCCCACAUUGUAGCACAGCACAAAUAGACUAAUAAAAACAAAGAGUUAUAGUUGACAGAGUUGUAAUACACCAAUUGUCUCAGAGCAUUUAGGAAGCUCAAAGUUAAGAGGAGAAACAGAUGCUAGAGGAACUUAUUACCUCUGGUGCCUCUAGCAACUGCAGCCAUUAAAUACAACCAAACUCCUAGUCAGAUAGUCAUAAAUCUCUAAAGACCUCUUUACCUCAGUUCUUACUAUGGAGACAACUCAAAGGAAAAUCACAAUUUGUGUAAUUUGACAAAAAUGUGAAGAGACAAAGCAAUUAGCAGAAUGGACUCAAUACAGAUAUUGGAAUUAUCAAUGGGGAAUUCUAAAUAAACAAGAUUAGUAUGUUAAGAAGUUCUGAUGGAAAAGAAGACGUAAUAUUCUGCAGCAGAGAGAUGGGAACUAUAAGAACCCCAAAAGAAAUGCUAAAAAUAAAAAACCACUGUAAUAUAAAUAAAUCCUUUCAACAGACUCAUAAUUAGAUUAAACAGAGCCAAGGAAAGAAACAGCAAUGUUGAAGAUAGUCAGCAGAGAUUUCACAAAAAAAAUACAAAGGAAAAAAAAAGGAAUUUAAAAAAAGCAUUUAAGAACAGUGGAACAAGAUAUCACGUAAUUGAAAUACUGAAAGGAGAAGAAUAUGAAACAGAAGAAAUGUUUGAAGUAAUAAUGGCCAAAAAAUUUCCAAAUUUGAGGACAAACACCAAGCCACAGAUCCAGGAAACUCAGAGAACACAAAGCAGUAAAAAUAAAAUAAUAACAAACUCAGGCAUUUCAUAUUCAACCUGCAGAAAAUCGAAAACAAACUCUUGAAAGAAGCCAGAAGAAGACCUUAUCUCAAGAACAAAGAUAAGAAUUACAAUGAACUCAUCAGAAACCAUUUAAAUAAAGAAGAAAGUGAUUAUUUAAAAUUUUUAAAUCAGUGUGGAGGGGAGGAAUCAACAUAGAAAUCUGUAUUCAGUAACACUGUCUUCAAAAGUAAAGAAUAAAUAAAGAUACUCAGGAAAGACAAAAACAAAGACUAUGUUGCCAGCAUACCUACCCUAUAAGAAAUGUUAAAAGUUUUUUAAUCAGAAGAAAGAUUAUACAGAUAAAAACCUUGAAAAGAAAAGCAGUGGAAAAGGAAUAAGUGAAGUAAAAGCAAAUCUAAUUUCAUUAUUCUUAAAUGAUCUAAACAAACCUUUCCUAAAGGGAUGAUAGUAAUAGAUGAUUAUGGAUAUAGAUACGUGAAAGAAUAACAGCAGUGCUUCACAAGGUGGGGAAGAAAUUGGGAACAUCUUGCUCCAAGGUAUUGCAUGGUAUGUGAAGUGGUAUAUUAUAAUUUGAAGAUGGGUUUAGAUUAGUUAAAAAAUGUAAAUUUUGAGGAAAUCUGUAAAAAGAUUAGGAAGAAGGAAUAAUUGAUAGCUAAGAGGUCAAAGUGAAAUCAUGUAAAAUGGUCAAUAAAAGUAGUGCAGUAAAAUAGGGUGAUAUAAAGAAAUAGAAUAAUACAAUGAUUAGAAAACCCAAGGAACAUAUUCAACUAUAUAAGGAAACACUUUAAAUGUGAGUCAUAUAAAAGAUUGCUAGAAUGGAUUACAACAACAAAAUCCAAUUAAAUGUUGCCUACAAGAAGCUUACUUUAAAAUGAAAGAUUUAGACAGGUCAAAAGUACACCUUGGUAACACUAAUCAAAAGAAAGCUGGAUUGGCUUCUGACUUCAGACAAAGCUGACUUCAGAGCAAGGCAUGAAGGGUGGCAUUACAUAUUAAGAAAGGACCAAUUCUGCAAGGAGAUAUGACAACUGUAUUACCUAAAGACAGUGUCAAGACACAUGAGGCAGUAGUUAAUAGGACUGAAAAAAUUGAGAAACUCACCACUAUAGUCAGAGGCUUCAACCUCCCCUUGUUAGUAAUCAAGCAGUCAGAAAACAGUAAAGAUGUAGGUGACUUGAAAAGCACUAUCAAUUAAAUUGUCUGACAUUUGUAGAAUACUUUAUCCAACAAUGAGUACACAUUUUUUUAAUACAUUAAAUAUUUACCAAAUCAUAUUAUGUGACAUAAAACAGACCUUAAUAAAUUUAAAGUAUUAUAAAUCAUAACUGAGUUUUCAGAAUACAAUGAAAUAAAACUAGAAACCAAUAAACAUAUAUUUGAGAAAUCUCCAAAUAUUUAUAAAUUAAACAAUACAUUUCUAAAUAACAGAUCAAAUAAGUCAUUAGAGAAAUUAAAAAAUAUGAACUAAGUUCAAAUAAAAAUACUACUUAUCACAAUUUGUUGGAUGCAGUUAAAGCAAUGUUACAGGAAAAAUUUUAGUAUUAAAUUCAUAUAUAUAUUAGAAAAGAAAGAAGAUCUAAGAUCAGUAAUCUAAGCUUCCACCUCUGAAAAACAGAAGAGCACUGUAAACCUCAAGCAAACAGAAGAAAAGAAAUAAUAAGUUUUAGAAUAAAAUUAAUGCAAUUUAAAACAUGAAAAUAAUGUAAAAAAAUCAAAACAAAAAGUUAAAAGAUCAAUAAAAUUGCUGAACUUCUAGUCAAGCUAAGCAAGGGAAAAAGAAAAUGACCAAUAACAGAGAUAAAUGAGAGGUCAUAAGUACAUUAAAAGGAUAAAAACAAUGCUCUGAACAACUCCAUGUUCCAAAAUUUGAUCACUUAAAUGAAACUAAAUUUCUUGAAAGAUACAAACUACCAAAACUGGACUGGGCAUGUAGCUCAGUGGUACAGCACUUACUGAGCCUGUGGUAGGUCCUGAGAUCAAUCUCCAGUGCUGUUAAAAAAAGAAAAAACCUACUAAAACUCACAGAAGAAAUAGAUAACCUGAAGCCCUACUAAUGAAAUUGAAUAAUUAAUAAUUUUCCAAAAAGAAAGUACUAGGCUGAGACAGUUUUAUUGGUCAAUUCAAACAUUUAGGGUAAAAUAAUACUGAUUCUCUGCCAUUACAUCCAGAUGUAAGAGCAGAGGUAACACUUUCUAAUUCACUGCCUCAAACCUUCAUUACCCUAACACAAUAACCAGACAGGAAUUACAAGUAGGGAAAACUAUACACCAUUUGAUAAAGUCUAAAACCCAUUGAUGAUAAAAAAAAAAAAACUCAGCAAAGAAUUCAAGGAAAUGUCCUUAAAGAAAUGUUGAGAACAUCUGAAAUAUCCCUAGAGCUAAUAUAUGUGUAGGGCGAGAGACAGAAUGAUGAUUUCAGCAAUAAGGCAAAAAUACCCAUAGAAUAUUUACAAGAUUCCAAUGCAGCAACACACUAGAAGUCUUAGCUAAUGUAACAGGACAAGAAAAAGAAAUGAGACAUACAGAUAUCAGUGAAAGAAAUGAAACUAUAUUCAUAGGUCACAUGAUUGUUUAUGGAGAAAAAUUUUGAAGAAUCUACAAAAGAAAAAUGUACUAGAGCUAAUAGGUGAGUGCAGCAAAGCUAAAGGAUACAAGUUCAAUAUACAGACGCCCAUUGCUCUUGUAUAUAAGUAAAGAGCAAUUUGAAUGUUAAAUUGGUAAAGGUUUUUUGCCUAAAUAUAUGAAGAACUUUUAAAAUUCAACAAUAAAAAAACUCAGUUUUAAAUGGGCAUGAAAUUUGAAAAGAUACCUCACCAAAAAUACAUACAGAAAAUAAAUAUGGAUAUGUAAGGAUUUGCAAUAUUGUUUGUUAUUAGGCAAAUUAAAUAAGAUACCACUACACAUAUGAUAGAGUGGCUAAAAUCCAAAGAUCUGAUGAUGUCACGUACUGACAGAGACAAGUAUUCAUUGGUGGCAGAAACUCAAGAUGGAACUUGAGCAGUGGAUUACAGUAUUAAAUAUAUAUCUGCAGCCAGUCUGAAAAGAUACAUAAUGUGUGCUUUCUUUUACGUGACGUUCUGGAAAAGUCAAAACUAUAGAUAAAGUAUCAGCAAUUGGCAGGAGUUCAGAUAGAGGGGCUAGAAUUUAAUUUUUAAAAAGCACAGUGAAUCUAUUCUGCAUGUUACUAUAAUUUUCUACACAUGAUAUCAUGUAUUUGUCAAAACCUAUAGAACUUUACAACUUGAAGUGAACUUUAAUGUACACAAAUUUAAGAAAAUAAUUUAGGAGGAUGGAAGAUCCCAGGAUGGAAUACCGAAUGUGGCAAAAUAACUCAGCUGUAUUGCAAACAUAUGAAAUGACCUUACUAAUAAGACUGAGUAGGGUGGGAGAGAUGCUGAUUUAUAUAACUUUUGGAAGACUCAGUGGAAUCUGUAAAACUAAAGGCAAAGUGAGUGUAGAUGAACACAGUUGUCUACUUGAUAAGGUUGUUUCUAUGGAUGUAUAAGUUAGUAAUUUUGAAGCUUGUGCCUGUAUACUAGAACUAGACAAAUAAACAAUGGUUGACAGAUGAUAUAAGUUUUCUGUUAGAGUAGAAAGCUACAGACAAGCAAGGAGAAAAAUCUCCAAUGAUCCAUGUUGUAAUGAAUUGGAAACCUUAGUAUAAAUUCAUGUUUAAUGUACUUACAGAUGAUUAUGUACAUAAAUAUAAAUGUGAUUAUACAUAGUCAUUGUCAUAUACACACAUUUCUUUACUCUGUCAGCUGAGGUGCAGAAACAAUGACAUUCUAACAACCAUGGGUAUACAUUGAACUCAUAUUUUGGUUUCCAACAUAAUUCUCCAGUAAAAUAACCCAGGGACUCUUGUAGAAGUGGCUGAUUCUAAGACUGGGUGGGAAAUGUAUAAGAUGAGUCCAGAAUAUUUUGUAGUGCCAGAGAGUAAGGAAGUACUAACAAUAAAUAAUUGAUAACCCCACACUGAUGGGAAUAUAUCAAAGACACAUAGAAACUAACCAAAAUAGUUCCUAAUUAUCAAAGGGCCAAUCACAAAACAACAAACAGCAUAAAUUUGGAUUGUAACAAAAGUAUAAAAUUAAUACUCAUGAAUCCUUAGUGAUAUAAAUAAUUAAAUAAAUAAAUAAAAGUGGGGAGAAGAAACAAAUUUCUUCUGCAGAAGAAUUCCAAAUAAUUUUUGUAAAUACUUUUUCUCCAAGGAGCAUUGCAUAAAUCCUCACUUCUCAAAUGUGGGCUGUGUACGAUGACUUUCUUCUAAAGAGUACACUAUGAAAAUGGGCAGGGGUGGGAGGACUGUGGCAAAGGAAGAGUAACUUUACAAUGGAAAAACCUGACCAGUGCUAUCUCAGAAUAGUGAGCAAAGUGAACAUCAACAGUGAAUCAUGUUGACAAUAUGACCCUUAAUAUGAUAUGAUGAUAAUUAUACUUUACUUCUGUUAUCUUUCCCCUCAAAACCCAUAAGGCCAAUACAAUCAUGAGAAAAUCAUCAAGCAAAUAUCACUUAAGAGACACUUACUUGAGCAGUUUGCCUCAAAAUUAUGAAGGUCGUAAAAAAAAGUUUGAGAAUGUGCUACAGCCAAGAAGAGACUAAGACAAAACAACUAAAUCAAGUACUGGAUAAUAGGGUAAUAGGACACUAGAUAAAAGCCAUGAAAUCUGAAUAUACUGCAUUUUUGUUAAUAAUUUAUCAAUAUUGGCUCAUUCAGUGUGGCAAAUGUAUUACUAUAUUAGUAAUCAAGGAAAGUGGGAAUAGGUUAUUUGAGAAUUUUGUGUUAUCUUCACCAUUUUUUGGUAAAUUUAAAGCUUUUAAAAAUGGAAUUAGGGGCUGGGGAUUUAGCUCAGUGGUUGCGCCACCUACCGUGCAAGUGCAAGGACCUGAAUUCGAUCCCUGGUACCAAAAAAAAAAAAAAAAGGAAUUAAAACGCAUUCAAUGUAAUUUACCAAAGUAACACAAGAGAAGAAAAUGAUAGAUAAUAAAUAAAGAAAAGGGAUUUGACAUACAAAGCCUAUUCUUCAUAAGUCUCUUUAUUGGGAACUAGGAACUGAACAAAAUCUUUUAAUAAAGAGUAUUUACAAAAGAAGUCAAUUCUAAGACCAUUUGUAAUGGAGAAACUGAAAGCUUUCUUUAGAGAAUGGGAAUAAAACAGUGAUUUUUCACUUACCAUUUCUAAUCAACACUACAUUGCAUGUCUUAACUAGUACAGUCAGUCAUGGGAUAAGAAUUGAAAAUAGAAAUGCAUAGAUUUCAUUACUCAGAGACAGAAAAUAAUCUGAACAAAAGCAAUGAAAAUUAGCAAGUUAACUGAGUAAAGUUGCUAGAUUAAAAAAUAAAUAAUAUAAAAUGUAUGUCUAUGUGAAGUAAAAAAAAAUGAAAAUUUAAAAACAUUUUCAGGAACAUCAGAGCUAUCAAUUACAUAGGAAAAGAUCAUGUAAAGCAUUAUCAAAUAUUAUGGAAAGGAAGUAAAUAAUAUCUUAAAAAUGGAGAGAUAUAAGUAUUUGGAUUGGCAGAUUCACCUAUGUAGAGAUGUCAGUUCUCCAUAAAGUUCAUUUAGAGAUCCAAGUAAUUUGAUUUCAAGAAUUAUAUAGAAUCCAGAGUCGAGAUGUUAAGUGAAAUAAAUCAGACACAUAAGGUUAAAUAUAGCAUGGUUUCUUUCAUAUGAGAAACUCAAAAUAUAAAUAAAGAGCAAAAUAAAAUAUAAGUAGGGAGAUAGUUCUUCACAAAGGGGAAGGGAAUCGAGAGAUGGAGAAAAGGGAGGGGAAGGGUUUUUUUAAAAAAGAAAUUAAAUGUGUUAUAUACAUGUAUCAACUCCACACAGGGAAUAUAAACAUUAUGUACUGUAAAUGUGCUAAUAAAAAUAAAAAUUACAAAAGAGAUUGUCUCAAAUAUGAACAAGGGCACAUGAAUUAAAUUACCAAACUUGAAGGCCUAUUAUAAAAUUAUAGUGUACCCAUAAAAAACAGAAAAAUGCAGUGGGACAACAUAGAGAUUCCACCAGCAGAUAGACAGGUAUAAUUGGUUGACUGAUGAUGAAAGUAGCACUGACAAAUGGUGAGGAAAGGAUGGUCUAAUUCAACAAUUGGUGCCAGGUAUACUGUAUACAGGUAUACAUAUCAAUAUAGAAAAAAAUGAAUCCUUUUCAAACCACGCAAAGAAAAUCAUUUUUCUAGGUGUAACAUUCAUCUACACAUGAAAAGGGUUAUUGGACAUAACAGAGGAAAAUAUCAUUAUAACUUUGGGGGAAAUGAAAAAACAAAAGGAAAUACCAAUAACACCAUUAAUGAAAAGAAUGAUGAAUCAAUUUAUAUCAAAAUUAAAACUUGUUUAUCAAAGUCUGUAUUCAUUGAAGAACCAUUGUAUACAGACAUAGUAAACUUUUACAUGUCAAAAAGUGAAAAAUAAAACAUUUAAGUAGGCACUUCAAGAUGGAGGAUAGCCAAUGGCCAGUAAAUGUAUUCAAGGUCAUUAUCCAUGGGGAAAGUAAUAAUUCUAACAGUAGUCAGGUAAGUUUAAUACCACCUGUACACCUAAAAAUUUAAAAUUAGCUCCAUGUGUUUAGAAUAUUCUUAUUCUCUAAAGUUGAAAGGUAACAUCAUUCUCUCAGGCAUAUAGCUAACAAAAAUUCUUACAUGUAUAACCUAAAAUUUGUGUCAUCAAUACAUGUAGUGGCAUCAUUUCUAAGAGCAAAAAUUGAAAACAAAAGGCCUAGAAGGGGUUCAAGGGAUAAGUAAACCUUCAAAUACACCGAGAUUCUUCCAAGGAACAUGAAUAUUAUUAUGGCUAAUUCUGCUACCUGGGUGACUCACAUAAAAGCUAUGAACCUCAUGAAAAGAAAUUUAUUAUUGAGAUGGGACCUCAUCAUUUUGCCCAACCUGGUCUCCAACUCCAGGGUUCAAACAGUGCUCCUUGUACUUCAGCCUCUCAAGUAGCUGGGACUACAGGCACAAGCCACUGAGCCUGACAAUUUAAGCUUAUACCUGAGCUUUGCUUUAAUUGAAAAUCUUUUGGUUCAUUGAGAAAUUUUUUGAUUCUUUGAUGUCAUCUCUAUGGUGUGAUAUUACCUAUUCCCAUAUUCUUGGCUCCAUUAGAAUAUAAAUUGUAUGUGUGGGGUUCAAAUAAUAAAUCUCUUGUGGGAAACUUAUUUUGUCCAUCUCUGAUUCCUUCCAAUGUGAGGAUCUUUCUGUUUUAACUUGAUUUUAAUGAUCUAUUCUCAUAAUUUUUUGAAAAUUUAUCUCAGCUCUUUUCCUGUGACUUUUGGUGUUGCAGUAAAUCUGGCUGGCAGCAUAUGCACCAUCACAUGUAUUAAGCUUUGGCAACUGAUUAAUUCCAGGUACACCUUUGAUCUAGUGAAGACUCUCUUCUAAGACCCUUGGUUCAUUCUUUCAGACAAUCUGAACAUCAUUAUGAGUUCUUCUUCUUUAAGAGUUGCUCCUGAGAAUAUUUUCACAUUUUACCUGAGCUUGCUUUGACUAAACAUUGAGAAAAUUUUGUGAUUCAUUGUUAUCAUUUCUAUGGUGCUAUAUUUCUUUGGAUCUAAAUAUGCAAGUACAUAAAUUCAUCCCUGUUAUGUUGUUUUGGUCUGCACUGUGAUACUAUGUCUGCAGACCCUGAUGAACUAUGAACAUUCGAUGAUCCUGUCAGUUCACUCAGAGGAUUGAGGUCCAGAUGUCUCUUUGACCAUGGGUGUAAAAUUCUGUAAAAGAGGAGCUUCCUGAUGUCUGACUUAUUUUUUAGGAACAGUACCCAUGAGAUACAGUUCUCAUCUUUGGCUAUUGUCCUACUCCUGUCCUCUUGAUAAAGACUACUAAGGAAGAGAUCUGGCUUCCUACAGCAGGGAUAUGUGAGCCCCACCCAAACUAACUUCACUGAAUCUGUCCAACUUCAGUGCAUCUUGGCAUAAAGAUUUAAAGAUUCCAAUCCUGGUUAGAAUUUUCAGGAACAAGUAGAUAUAAGGAAGGGGAAUGCCAUGUCUUGAGUCAGUAGGAGGUUUGAUGACUUAAAGUUUAUACUCAUAAGCAUGCUGAUAUAAAUUCUUGAGAUGUGGGGAUAUGCAAAAAAAUAGCUAUGGAAGAAGGGAUUAUUCAGAGAAAAUAUCAAGUAGUCACUGAGAAGUUAGACAAGAGCCUGGUCACAGAAUGCAAGCAUCAGUUUGACGAGUGGUUGCUCUAUUUGGAAGAAAGAGAAUAAAAUUGAAUCAGGCUCUAAAUAGAAAGCGGGGACUGAAAUUACAGUGUCAUAUAUAUCAACUUAUUUUUUGUCUCAACAUGAGGAACAUUGACCCAAUUCUUUUGGAAUUUCACACCUCAGAUGCUUGUUGGAAUUACCUAGGACUGCUGGCAGGAACUAAAAUGUUAGGAUCCAUAUGCCCUUUUCUCUAGCUGGUAGUAGGUAUCUUAAGAAUUAUUUUCAAGUGCCCUGGGGAGAGCUACAAAAGCCUUUCCAAAGUGCUCUGCAGUGUGUUUUCAAUCCACAGUCCUACACAUGGCCGUGCUCACUGACUGCUGGAUAAAGUCCUGUCUCCUGAUGGCCUUGACUAAUAGAACAGGCACAGGAAGGCCCAUGAGAACACGGAGGAAGUGCAAGGCCUCAGGCCAGGCCUUGCUGUGUGCAGCCCCUCCAGCAGAGCGGGUUGGUCCUUGUGCCUUGGAACCCAAUGUGAGUGACUGCUCACAGCCCUACUUAGCCCCUUGGAAAUGAACUAAGCCAAAUACUGUUCUCUAUGGAGAAGCUAGGUGAUUUUCCCCGAUGAUUUUCACCACAGUUGAUUGCCACAUUUUCUAAAUUUCUGUAUAACAGUCUCUGGGUAUAUCAGAAUAAACCUCAGACCCCCUACAUUUUUAUAGUAAUUUUGUUGCCAGGAAUGCAAAUAAUACUAAGAGAAAAAGUAGAUAUUUGGCAACAAAAGGUAGUUUCUUACAUAGUGGCGGUAGCAAUGCGGCUUUGGGAAAAUAUGGAGAAAGAGAAGAUAAAAAUGGACUUAAAACUGCAACGUUAGCUGCCCACUUAUAAUUAUUCACAAAGGGAUCAGAGCAUUAUUUAGGGCCACCAACAAAUAAAAGGGCACAGUUAAUGGAAAAUUAGUAGUUACUAUAGUAAAUAAAAUAGAGUCUACCAGCCAUGUCCAACCUACAGCCCACAUUUUCCUCCAUUUAAAAAAGAAGUUAUAAUAAAAAAUAAAGCUUUGUUAUUUGUAUCCAUUAACUAUUUUAUGUAUUUUAUAUAUGACCUAGGACAAUUAUUCUUCACUCAAAGAGGAAGAACAAAAAAGGCUGCCGAUUAACUAUGCCUGGUAGACGUUAGAAAUAGGAAUCACAGAAAAUAAUGAGAAAGAUAUAAGAGAUGUAGUCUAACUCUGAAGCUUUCUCAAGAGGAUCUUCCCUACUCAAUAAAGUCAAACAAGAAAUAAUUGAGGGCACGGUGGUGCAUGCCUGUAAUCCCAGCACUCAGGAGGCUGAGGCAGGAGGAUUGCUGCAAGUUUGAGACCAGCCUGAGCUACAUAGUGAACUACAUAGUGAGGCCCUGUCUCAAAAAACAAAAACAAACACAACAACAACAACAACAACAAAAAACAUUGGCAAAUGGUGUGAAUGAAUGGGCAACAUUGAUAUAAGGGAACCUUAAAUCUUGGAAUUGGAUUCACUUAUGCAUCUUUUUCCUGUCCUAACAUUUUCUUACCUUUUAUUGCAGAUAGUGGAGCCAUGCACUCCAUCUCUACCGAUCUUUCUUAUCUUACCCUAUCCCAGAAAAACAUCCAAGAUGUGGAUAUUUCUGGCCUACCUUCUAUUUCUUCUUUUUCUUCUGAGAUUCCUAUGCAAAUAAGUCCUCUAUUACAAUAAUAUGGCUUAUUUCUCAGUGUAUCUGACAAUCUAUCAGGAAGGAUCCUGCUGUGUAAGGUAUGGGCUGUGCUAUUUUGUCUGGUUGGUAGUGUCGUUUUGGAGCUCCUAGCAUGCAUGUGUUCUAGGUUGGUAGAUAUGUCCCUUCUGAAGUGAAACGUGGGUGUGGGAGAGCAGCGUUCUCCCCUCUGCUGGAACAGUGCUCCAAAUUACAUGAAACAGACCCAUUGUUAUAGGACCUACAUACAAGUGGUAGUGGUUUAACAAAGGGGAUCAAUACCAUUGUUGUAACUUACAAAAAAAAACCUUGGCCAUGUUGAGAAACUAUUUUAGCUCUAGUAUAAUGUAUGAAACAAGUAAUUAAAAAGUAGAGAAGUAGGGCAUAAUAUAGAUGGGACAUUCACACCAUACUAUUCCCAUAUUACCUACAAGAAAGGGACAAUUUAACAAGGAAUGUCAUUCUGUAUAUAGGUUUGUACAUGGCUUGAGAGAAGUAAAUAAGUUGCGCUGCUUCUGACAUCUGUGGCACCCAACCUUGCCACUCUUUAAUGCCUGUUCCUGACUUAACUAAGUGGAUUCCCAUGGCAGACUUAUAUCCAACUUUGAGUAUGAUGACUUCAACCAAGAAGUCAGGGCUUAACUUGACUUGAGUUUACCUACUCACUGUGGGGACAUUUGAUUUAUGGCUAUGAAUCUCCAUGAUUCAAAUUCACCCACUAUAUUCUCUUGCCAUUUACAUAAAAAGUUAAUGAAUUUCCCUUACCUUGAAUUUCCAUGCUAAUCGCUAUUGGUAGUUGAUAAUACUCUGCAUGCUAGUAAAGAAGGCAUCUUAAUUAUACUAAAUUUCUUACUCUCCUGGGACAUAAAGCCUCCCUAGAUAAGUUUAAAUGUUUUCAAACUGAAGCCAGAUAUUUGGGAUGUGGAUGGUGGUUGUAUCUUGAAGCCACCCUAAUGUAAAAAUGAAGUAACAUGCUACAAAAGGAAGCAACUUACCCAGUUUUGAGAGUUGGUGGUUGAUUCCUGCCUCAGUUGAAAGACUGAGCCUUACUGAGCUGUUCCAUGAAGCAUCACCAGGACUUCCUAUUAUCGUCAAAACAAGCCAGAGGAGGCUUUCACAUCCUUGAAGUAGGAGUUAUGUCCCUACCUGCAUUAAAAGUUGUAACCUUAAUCAACUGUUCUAGCUUUUCUGUCAUGAGAUUUAGGGUGCUUCUAAUGACAUACCUACCCAAAAUUAGGCCUUGAUUAUAGGGACACUGUUUACUUUCUGGGUUAUUGGUUUCUGUUGAUCCGGGGGUACAGCAAUGUUUAUAGCAGCAGCCACUCUCCUGACCGAAGAGGCUCAGGCUUUGACUCUGGGAAAUUUGACUUAUACUUCAGGCUGUUUUAUUUCACAAGUUCAUGGGAUGCAAUCCCUGCCACACUAGAUAUACACACAUCUUUACUGCCUAAUCCUAACGCUGUCCUAGUCAGGUAUAAACUUGACAGGAACUCUAUAGCCAGAUCCUGAUAAUAUAGGUUUGAACAUGCCUCACAAUCACUGAGGACUACGCCAGACUUUGGUGACUCUUUUUAAUAUUCCUGUCGCCACACUGCCUAAACACCUACUGAUUUAGCCUGUGUGAGAGCCUUGUGCAUAGUAGUUAACCCUCAUGAAGUGUCCAAGUGGCAGAACUUGUAACUGUGAAUCUGGCCUUAAAUUAGCUGGUGGAUACCCAGUAAUUACAUGUUUGUGGUCUAUUAUGUGACUGUCAACUUGGGAAGAAUAGGGGCCUUCUAAUAUCAAUAGAAACUAGAAUAUUACAUAGAAAACUACUGGUGUAUGAGAGUCAUUCAAACUUCUCUAACAGAUUUAUGUAAUUUAUUGUAGAAUUCACAAUGGAAAACAAAAUGAAAUAUAAAAGAAAUUGCAUACCAGCCUGGAAAAGGGUUACUAAGAUUUGGGCUGGGGAAAUUGAACACCCAUUAUAUGUCCACUGAGGAGCUCCUAUUCAUAGUUUGAGGAGUAGCUAACUUUCUAAGAAUUAGAAAAUUAGAAAGCAAGGAAAGCUAAGAAGACUACCACAGAAAAUAAAUAUUUCAUGAGUCUGUACCUUUACUCCAAUUGCUGUAAUAUAGAGACUUUUUCAUGCUCACCAACAAACUAAGCAAAAGGAGUACACUGAAAACUUUGCAAUCUUACAAUAAUUGUAAUUGGAUCAAACAAUUCGGAAAAUAUUACAAAAACAUAAUGUUUGUCAGAAAAAAAAUCUUUACAGAGUAUACGUAAAACAAGUUAAGAAAGCCUGUGAAGAUCAAUGUUCUAUAAUGUCUAUGAUGUUCUAUAAUGUCAUCAGACCAUUAUAGAGCUCCUGCCUUUAGUAGGAAUAAAAAGUUUUUUCAUAAUGCUACAUAUUGAGGCCAGGAUGUACUAAAUCAGAUGUGGAGUAAACAAGCACUCAUGGAAUCAUAUCUCAAUAUUUCUGAGUAUCUAGAAUACAAUAAGGGAAGUCAUUUUAGAGCUAACACAAUGCAAUAGCUUUGCAUUGCAUUACAAAUAACUGGCCUACUUUUCAUCGUCCUCAUUCUUCUGCACAAAUGGAACGGGGGACCCAUACUUCAGAGAUUUUCUUGGCUAAAUUAUAUUGAGCCAUUGGCUUAGAGUGGCCCCAUGGCUUACCAUUUGCUUCAUUAAAAAUAAAGUUAAUUCUCUGUAGCAGUCACGGCAUUUUUUUCUUGAGUUUCCUUUGAGUUUGGAAACUCUAUGAAUCUUGAGUUUAAGCCUAACACAUUGUCUAAUAUGAUGAAAACCACUCCUGAUCAGAUAUGCUAUAUAAAGAGUUUGUGGGUUUCCCUAUACUUUAUGUCUCACUUUGCCAUCAUGUUUGGCAAAUCUAGAAAACUCCCCUUGGAAAUGUGUGUUUCUGAUAUUGCAUGGGGGACCCUGUCUAUCUCAAAGUGCUCCAGUGGCAGACUGUCUGUGAAUAUUCUGGACAGAACCCUUUCACAAGUGGUUCAUAACUUAUACUGCUAUCACAAUGAAGAAGAAAUCCAAAUACAUACAAGAUCCACAUCUGAUACCAACCCUUACAAUAAAGUGGCCUGUAGGACCUUAAGGUUGAAUUCUCUAGAUAGUAAUUUACAGUAAUAUGCAACCUGAAAAGUUUUGCUCAUGGACAAGCAGCAGGGAACAUGCAAUGUUUUGUUACUUUCUUCUUAAUUAUCUUUUGUUUUCUUUUUAUGGUGCUGUGGAUUGAACCCAGGGCCUUGUACAUGCUAGGCAAAUGUUCUACCAACAGAGCCAUACCCAGCCCUAAUUUCUUGCUGUUAUCAUUUUGAUAAUUAUUUUUAUCAAUUGAGGAUGUAGCUUAUUAAGCAUUUAUCCUUCUUUUAAAAAUAACUAUCUCAACCUCGAGGAAUUUUGUAUUGAUUAUAAAUUAUCCUGAAUAUGAAAAGAGGGCCUAAGGAAACCCUUUCUUUGUCAUAAUCCUUCAAACUCACCAAUUGGAUGCUUCAAUGUAGAAAAAGUGGAAAAUUUCAAAUUGUCCCACUGAUAGAUCAGUAUCACAAAUAGCAUCAUCUUCUUUAAUAUCACACAUUUUGUGUAAUGAACACACUGGUAGGAAGACAAUUUUAAGGAAUUAAGUCAAAUAUAAUUAUAUUCAAAGACGAUGAACAAUAUUACAAAUCUUCAACUGUUCUUUGUCUUAUGUAGCCAAUGGGGACUAGUUUAAUAAAACUGAAACAAAUGUGCAGAUAAGGAGAAAAUAUCUCAGCCCAAAUGAUGAGGGUUGGUUUCUUCAAAAUUCCCAAAAUACCAUCCUAUAAAAAUGAGUCUACCCUGUUAAAACCUAGCAGUCUCCUAGCCUCAUGCUUAGGUCCUCUAAGAUAGUGAAAUAGUCUGUAUCUUUUAAUAUGACUAUAGCUAAUGUGAAUAAAUUCAAUUCUACUUUCACAUGAUAGGCUUUACCAUUUAAAAAAAGUUAUUAAACUACACAGUGACUAAACUGGGCUAUGCUCAAAUUAAAAGAAAUUUUAAAGUACCAUGUUAAGGAGAAUAAAACGGGCUGUAACUGCCAACUCAUAAAAAUACUGACAAGCUAAAUGCCUCCGAGAAAUUGCAGAAAUUGCAGAAACAUGCAAUUUGGAUAUCAAUAGGAUGGAAUCAAAGCUUAAUAGAAGAAAGACAUAAUGAUAGAGAAAAUUAGAAUGGAAUUGGGGAAGAAUUUGAAAUUAGACAUCUUGGAAUGAAAUUUUGUUGCAAAAAAACAAAGAAUUUUCAUAAGCCUUGAAGUGUGAAAGUGAAAAACCAUUAGUCAUUCAGCAACUACCACAUACAUUUAGUAGUAAAAGUUUGUACCCACUUAGGGAAACAAUUAGGUACUGGGUAUAUUACUAUCUAUGAUCCAGUUAUUAAAAAAAGAGCUGAAGGGGCCGGGGAUUUGGCUCAGUGGUACUGCCGCCUGCCUCACAAGUACAAAGUCCUGAGUUCAAUCCCCAGUACCAAAAAACCCAAAAUCAAAAACAAAACAAAAAAAAGAGCUGAAAUUUGGCUCUGCAGAUUGAUAUUUUUGAAAAUUUAAAUAAAUCUAAUUUCCCCAAAGUAUGCAAAUGUUAUACAUACAUGAAACAAAUAUGUUAGAUGAGUGUGUGCCUUCAAGGAAAUAUAGUUGAUGGUAAUUCAUAUGUUAUUGACAGAUGCAAGAAAUGGCCAGAUGGAUGGAUUUGUCCCUAAGAGUAGAACUGAAUCCAUUUUCAUAUUGCAAUUAUACUUUAUAAUUUAACAGUUUUAUAUCUACUUUCUAACAAAUAUUUCAUAACCAAGCUUCAAUAAUAAAUAAUAGAAUUGAUGGGGUUUUUUUGGCAUUACUGGGCAUUCAACCAGAGGCUUCACACUCAGUACAUCCCAGCCCUUUUAAAAUAUUUUAAUUUUGAGAGUGGGGCUCACCAAGCUGAGCAGAGACUGAGCUGAAACAUGUGAUCCUCCUGCCUCAGCUUCUUAAUAGGAAACAUUACUUGGGAAGAAAAACUAUUUCUACCAGUCCUGGUUGAGCUGUAGGAAUAAGAUGUUAUAUAAUUCACGGAUCUUCCCAGGAAUUAUAUUGGAUCAUGCAAUAAAAACUUCAAAUUACAGUGGACCCUUGCCAGCCUAACAUAUCACCAACUUGGGAGGGUAGUUUUAACCUAUAAACAGUCUUGAGUUAUGAGCCGCUUGUGCUUCCAGAUGGCCUCAGAUACAGAUUUAACCCUUAAAGAGUUCUGGAAGGAGUAUGACAGCGUCCUUUUCCAUGUGGGGUUCACUCAGAGCUCCUGGGCCAGUGUCUCUCUAAGGACACUGAGAUCUGACUGUGUACAGGAGAGAGACUUUGAAGGCUGUGUAGAGGAGCUGAGCCUUCAAUUGAUCAACUUAAGUUACAACCAGCCCUUGCAAACAAAUUGAGUUCAUAAGUCAAGGGUCCACUGUAAUUUGAAUUUUUAGACAGAUUCUAGGAUAGUUUGAUUUGGGGCUUUUAAGAAAAGAAAACCCUUGUGUGAAACUUCUUUUGCCCAACUCUGCUCUGAACUUCUAACUGAACAACAAAUUUUCAUUCCUUAAGAUUUAUUUCUGUCAUCUAUAGUUACUAUGUAGUAUGGUAUAUUAAGGGCUCAUUUGGUUUUUUUCCUCCUCAUAUUAUGUCUUUCAGUAAGAUGUACUAUCAAGAGAAACCAUUCCACUGAAAAGGGGUGAGUGGUUACCUUUAGUCACAGACACAUUCUGAAAGACCUGUGGAGUAGUGAAAAUUAACCCUUAACCAGUGUGUUUGGUUUACUUAAUAUGAGGCUGUCUUCUGAAAUGAAUUAGUGACUUACUUGAAAUGAUCCUAUGAAAAAAGUCUUUGCUUUUUUUACCUGCAUCUGAUAAGAUUAAGUUAAUGAAGUUUGAUUUAGUGGUACCUAGUAAAAUGUUUGUUACUCAUUUUAGUCUUCGUUAUUACUAGAAGACUUUCUCAAUAACAUUAUCUUACAAAUUUCUGAACGUUUAUGUGGCUUUUGGAACUGAUGAUCACUCCAUAAAUAAGCCUCUUAAUGAAGAUGAAAACCUUAGAUGCAGUACUUUGUUUGCCUGUGACAUCAUUGAAUAAAGUGAAGAGCAAACUAUUGCCUGAAUUUCAGUUGAGUAUCAUGACACCAUUAUGCUUGAUAUAAUGAAAGUGGACAGUAUGAAUGGUACCCAUUGUUUCUGAAAUGGCCUUUGAGAUGACUAGGAUCAAAAACUGAGAUAUAAGCUCCAUUAUGGGUUCUAUUCUGUAACUGACUUAUUGAUAACAUCCACAUAAGAAUAACAUCACUUUUCCUGAAAUUUCUUUGAAAGAUUGUAGAAACAUUGAGUUGCAAUUCCUAUACCUGUAUUAUAGCAUUCUUUGGACCUAAAUACUAAUAGACAUAUUCCCACCCAUUCUAGCAUUUCUGUGUUGCUCUGAUUUUGUAAUGUUUGUGGGUUAUUGGUGAAAACUCAUGGAAGAUAAUGACAUUUCAGCCACAAUUUAAACAUUUCUGUAUAUGGAUUGCCAAAUAAAUACAACCCACAGUGUUCUAAUACCUCAAGAUCCUAAUUUUUGCAUGGUUCCAGGAAUGGAAUUUUAAGAGUUCUGAUGCAAUGUGCCUUGUCAAUUACUUUUUUUUGGUACCGAGGAUUGAACUUGGGUCCUUGCACUUGCACAGCAGGCAGCCAAACCACUGAGCUAAAUCCCCGGCCUGCCAAUUACUAUUGAUAUGUCUUGUUUCAAUAUAUAAACAAGUGAUGAUCAGUAAGAUGAUAGAUCAUCUCAGCAGGACACUUACUGACUGGCUUGCCAAAGUCAAGAUGCCUAUAUGUGUCGUCCUUGUGUUUAUGAAAUCAGUGGUCUUGUGUUUAUGAAAUCAUUAACAGAAUAGUUAAUGGGUCAAUUUUUGAGUACUAACCACAAUUGGGAAAAGUACACAUAAGGCAUACAUACAUUAAGAUGUAGUUCUCCCUUUUAAAAUAUGUCCUAUUUCUCUUCUCUCAGGUAAUGACUUUGGAGAAAAAAUAAUCUUUUGCUUUCCACAUAGGAGGCAGCCACUGAAUAUGUUUGAAUUCCAAUUCAAUUCCAAUCCAGUUUAGCACCAAGAAAGCAAGAGAAAUCUCUGGAAAACAGUGUAAUGCCUAGAUACAAGGUGUCAUCAAAAUAUACAAUGAAUGUUAAAUUAAAAUAAUUAUUAUAAUAAAAGGCAUAUUGUCACUAAUCCUCCUCAAAAUAGUCUCCCUCACUUUGAACACAUUCAUCUCAUCAUUCUUACCACCUUCUGCAACAGUGUAGAAGUUUUCUUUCAUGAGUGUCUUUAUGAGGUUGUGUCAAUUGAAAAAUAUGAUGAAUGCUGCUGCCUAGUGCUAUCCAACAGAAAGGCAGGCUUGUAAAAAAAUCAUGGUGUGUCUUUAUCCACCUUAUUCUCCAGAUCUGGCACCAUGUGACUUCUGGCUCUUCCCCAGUGUCAAAAUGGCCAUGAAAGGUGAGCAUUCUGAAUUGACUCACAGUGUUGCUGAAGCUACAAAACACUCAGGAAAGAGGACUACCAGGAUUGCUUCAGAAAGUAGCAAGAACAAUAGGAUAAAUGCACUCAAGAUGAGGGGGGAUAUUUUGAAUGGGAUUGGUUGAAAUAUGUCUUUUACUGUAAGAAAUUUUUAAAAACAAACAUUCACUGUAUUUUCAAUCAUAUCUCAUAUGCAUGAGGAACCUAUCACUUUAAUCAAUGGUGAGAAUUUAUGUGGUUUUAAAGACAGAUGAUCAUAUAGUCAACAAGAACAUGCUGGGAACCUCAGUGAUAAUCCUUGGGCAGGAAUUUGGGAAUUCUUCUCUCCAUUCUGGGUUUCAUUUUGGGCUUGAGAAAAUAAAACACUUGAAAUAAACUUAUGUGGCUUAACUAAAAGAUGUGCUUAUGAAGAACAAAUGCUAGUUCACUAAGCUUUAUGUCAGAGACCUAGGAUUCCUAGUGGUUCACAUUAGCGUUUUAGCCAUGCCUCACUUCCUCUCAUUCUAUUUUUCAGUGAAAAUACCACAAAUUGCACACCUUUACAUUGGUAUGAGAUGAGGGACAACCUUUGGUCGCAGAUAUAUUCCAUAUAAGACACUGAGCUAAAGGAGACUCACCAAGGUGUCACCUUUUACUCAUUUGGUCCACUUGAAUAUUGACAUCGAGUGUUCCUGCUGAAUGACAGCUCUACUCAUUGAUAGCCUAUGGUGAUAUAUUUAUUACUAUCUGACUUCGAAGAGACUGCAGUGAAUGACAUGCUGAUUUAUUCAUACACAGUGUUCAGUACUUAUAUGUAUCUUUAUGUGAGAGGAGACAAAAAUGUUAUAAUAUCAAAUGAGACUAUAAGAGCUUCAUUCUGCUUAAUGUGUGCUGAACAAAUCUUGAGAAUUUAAGAAUAUUAACAAAAAUUAAAAUGUGAGACUGAGUAAUUUGCUAUUACCAUUAAGUCUAAAAUGAUUGAAGUGGUAAGUCAUAAAAGGAUUUCACUUGCUUAAUAAUGUGAAUGUUUUAUUCACAGAAUAAUGAAAGUGUAUGCAGUGUAUGAUAAUAGACACUGCCUGAAAUGAAUAUUAUUAAGAGUUGCCUGAUACCUGGUAACUAAAUCCUGACAUAGCUGAAGCAUCAAGUGUCUCAUUUCAGACUUCAAAUGAAAAUGGAGAGGCAGAUUACUGAGGUAGACUUCUUGAAUAUAACUAGAAGGUAGGGUAAAUAGGAUGUAUGACAGCUUGCCUGACAUCAGAGUGGCUCUUCAAAGACAAGGUCACUGUAUCGUGUCAUUCACAUUUUGAAAGACACAGUUGGAUGUAACUUCUAUAACAUGACAUUCUUGGGGUAUUUAUAUAUCGACCAUACACAAAAAGACUAAAAUACUCAGAUCUGAUGAGAUACACAGUUACAUAUUUUGACACUGGUACAUAAGCUCAGAGUGGAGAAUGCCACAUAUCUAACCUGACGAAAUAGGGGGAUAAAGAUUAGAUUUUUAGAAAAUAAUGCACUGAAAUGCAUAAAAAAGAGAAGAAAACCAACUUUCAAUUUUAAAAAGGGGAAGCAUACUCAGGUAAAAGAGAAAAUAUGUAAAAUGAAGGCAAUUCCUGAUUUGCCUAAGUUAUGAGGAUCCAAAACAUUUUUUUUAAAAGAUGUGACAUAAUGACACAACAGGGGAAAAACCAAUGUAAAAAAAACAUUAACAGAAUUUUAGAAGAUUUAUACAUUUCCAACUGAACAGAAAAGGAAAGGAAACUCCAGAUGCUUGAAGAGCCUAAAACUUUUUAGAAGUAAAACUGAACAAAAAAAGAUCUUUCAAAAAAUUUGGCAUAUAAAAACAACAUGAGUCAUAGAACUGUGGAAACUGAGCUCAUUUUCAUGAAUGCUGUCUUUCAGCAGGAUGUGAUGCCAUGAGGAGAGAGAGAGAGAGAGAGAGAGAGGCCUCACGGAUGGAGCCAGUUAGCAGGCCGCCAGGACUGCUGGCUGACAGAGGGACUUCUUGAGCUCAACUCAGUCAGUGUGGGGGCAUCAAAGCCCGGGGAACAUGGGCUGACAGGCCGGCCUGUUGGCCUCCAGGAAAAUGCUACCUUUGAAGCAGUGAGGACUGCCGUAGCCCUUGAGUAUGGGGAGGUACAGCGGGGCACUCUGAAUAUGGAACGUGUGGCCAGGAAGCCUCCAGCAUUGGAUCCCGAGUCCAAGAGCAAUCUGGGCUGUCCUGGGGGUCCAGAUAAAGCAUACCUGUCCCAACGGUGUGCCCGCCUGUUAGACCAGCCAACUUCCACAGUGCUCCCUCUCACAAAUAACUAGUUUUCAGUUGGCCCUGCAGUUCUGGAGGCGAGGGGCUGAAUCCCUGGUCCCAUGGCUGUUUGAGC
ensembl:lncRNA